UAGAGGGGGAAACGCUGUGAACUUUUUAUUUAGAUCAUUCUGUGAGCAACUCUUGGUAUAAUUGUUUGCAAUGGCGAUAUCACAAGCUCUUCAUGGAUAUGUGACAAUGGUUCGGGUUACAGGUGCUUGACCUCGGGGAGAACCUGCUCUCCGGCGUGCUCCACCCGACGCUGUUCGGCAACCUCACCAGCCUUUUGAAGUGUAAGAUUUGUUAUUCUUUAGUUAUAUAAUUUCUAGUAGAGACAACUUAAGUAUUACAGCUAUGUGUUAGGGAGGGUUCAGGAAAAAGAAUGAAUUUUGUAUUCAGCAUAUGUGCAUAAUAGGGCUUCGAUUCUCAAGUCCUGUAAUAUUGGAAGUAUGCAUAAGUGCAUAACAGAGUUUAUUAAAGAAAGAAAAGUCCUCACUUGCUGGCAGUUUGUCCAUUGUAUUUUUGUAAAUUAAGGUUAUUAAAGAAAGAAAUGUCCUCACUUCCAUGGGUUAAUUUAUGAUCUUAGCACUUGCUACGACUAUAGGGUUUAUAUAGGUUCACAGCUUCUUACUGUCCACUAGGCUUCUCCAGCUGCAUUGUUUGUAAGGGACAGAAACUAGCUAACUGUUGUGACUUAAUUAUUCAUCAACUUUCACCUGCCUUAAGCCUUUUAGGUUCAUUUGUCUUAUAUAUACCAUGGUAAACCACACCAUGAAUAUGCCAUAAAUAAGUAACAAGAGUGACUAGCAACUCAGCACACACAGGUUGUCAGGAUCCUUCACGUACACCUUUCAUGUUCUUGCAACAUUGAUUCUACAUGCUUCAGGUAGUCUAGAAUAUCAGAUUGUUGUAUAUAUUUAACACCUUCUGUAGCAUCAAAUUCAGAAAUGCAGUCAAGAAAAGGCUUUCCAAAACUCUUAGAAUGUAUUCCAAAAGCAGUGCACAUAUUCAGAAGCUAAUUAUGUAAUUUCUUAUAUGUUGCUUUGAGGCAAAUUGAACAGGGAUUUGUUUGGCUUCCAAAUGGUUUGUUGGUCCUAAAAUAGUCAGAAUCACAUGACAUCUGUGCUAUAGAUAUGGACCUCGGUGGUUUUCUCCACAUUAGGAAAGCUGGAAGAGCCUUUUGAACUCAGUUUUUUUUGCUAACAGUGGUGUUAUGGUGAAACAGAGUUUUGUGUGUAUGUACCAACAGCUAAAAUGUAAACACGACAUUAUCAUAGUUGAGUACAGGAAUAAUUAUCUCUUAUAUCUUAUUGCAAAAUCUGAAACAGUUCUCCUGUAGAUGGUUA